rnacentral:rRNA from 1 species
AUGCUCGGGGCCUCGAGGCGAUCCCUCUGCGCCGGCGCCGCCGCCCGCCGCCACGCCGCCGCCUUCGCGGUCUCCGGAGACGCCGCCGCCGCCGCCGCCGCCUCCUCCUCCCCCUCCCUCUCCCCCUCGGCCCCGCCGCGUUCGGUGACAAACCCAGACCCUGGUCUCUCUCGGCUUGGAGGGAAGAGGUUGCUCUCUGUGCUUGGGGCUCCCAAGCUUAAUGGAGCUGAAAGCUUGUCGUCCCUCAAGCUGAGGGAGAGUGCCCUUGUUGGGAGACGGUAUGAAUCGAGUGCUGCAGCAGUUGAUUCAUCUGACGCGCCACCUGCCGAGAAGUUCGAGUAUCAGGCUGAGGUCAAUAGGCUCAUGGAUUUGAUUGUGCACAGCUUGUAUAGCAACAAGGAAGUGUUUCUCCGGGAGCUGGUCAGCAACGCAAGUGAUGCACUUGACAAAUUGCGCUAUCUGAGUGUCACUGAUCCUGAUCUUCUUAAGGAUGGCCCUGAACUUGACAUUCGCAUCCAAACAGACAAGGACAAUGGAAUAAUAACGAUUAUUGAUUCUGGGAUUGGUAUGACGAGGCAAGAACUUGUUGAUUCUCUUGGAACUAUCGCAAGCAGUGGAACUGCCAAAUUCCUGAAGACAUUAAAGGAGAGCCAGGAAGCUAAUGUUGAUAGCAACUUGAUUGGCCAAUUUGGUGUUGGUUUCUAUUCAGCAUUUCUUGUUUCAGACAAGGUUGCUGUGUCAACAAAGAGCCCAAAAUCAGAAAAACAAUAUGUUUGGGAAGCAGAAGCAGAAUCUAAUUCCUACACCAUUCGAGAAGAGAAAGAUCCAGAGAAGCUCAUUCCUAGGGGAACUUGUCUUACACUUUACCUGAAGCGUGAUGACAAGGGUUUUGCUCACCCUGAGAGGAUCCAAAAACUUCUGAAGAAUUACUCUCAGUUUGUUUCCUUCCCAAUUUACACUUGGCAAGAGAAGGGCUUCACAAAAGAGGUUGAGGUUGACGAGGAUCCUGCUGAAGUUAAAACAGAAGGUGAUGGUGAACCCAAAAAAGAGCAGGUUAAGAAAAAGACAAAAACCGUUGUGGAGAAGUAUUGGGACUGGGAGCUUACGAAUGAAACACAACCUAUUUGGCUUCGGACUCCUAAGGAGGUAUCAACUGAGGAGUACAAUGAAUUUUACAAGAAGACCUUCAACGAGUAUUUGGAUCCCUUGGCCUCCUCACACUUCACUACAGAGGGUGAAGUAGAAUUCAGGUCAAUUCUGUAUGUGCCUGCUACAAAGAAAGAGGACAUAACUGAUAGGAAGACUAAAAAUAUCAGGCUUUAUGUCAAGCGGGUGUUCAUAUCAGAUGACUUCGAUGGAGAACUGUUCCCAAGAUACCUGAGCUUUGUGAAGGGUGUUGUUGACUCAAAUGACCUUCCACUAAAUGUUUCUCGUGAGAUCCUUCAAGAGAGUCGAAUUGUGCGUAUAAUGAGAAAGAGAUUGGUGCGGAAGGCCUUUGAUAUGAUACUUGGCAUUUCUUGUAGUGAAAACAGAGAUGACUAUGAAGCAUUUUGGGAGAACUAUGGAAAAUUUUUGAAGCUCGGUUGCAUGGAAGACAAGGAAAAUCACAAGAGAAUUGCUCCUUUGCUCCGUUUCUUUUCUUCUCAAAGCAAUGAGGAAUUAAUUAGCUUGGAUGAAUAUGUGGAGAGUAUGAAACCAGAGCAGAAGGCCAUUUAUUACAUUGCUGGAGAUAGUUUGAGCAGUGCCAAAAAUGCUCCUUUCUUAGAGAAGCUCAAUGAAAUGGGUUAUGAGGUUUUACUUUUGAUUGACCCUAUGGAUGAAGUGUCUCUCACAAACCUGAACUCCUACAAGGAUAAGAGUUUCGUGGAUAUUAGCAAGGAAGACCUGGACCUAGGUGAUAAGAAUGAGGAAAGAGAAAAGGAAAUGAAGCAGGAAUACAGUCAAACCUGUGACUGGAUCAAGAAACGUUUGGGUGAGAGGGUUGCUCGAGUUGAUGUAUCCAACCGUCUCAGCUCAUCACCAUGUGUUCUAGUUGCAGCCAAGUUUGGUUGGUCAGCCAAUAUGGAAAGGUUAAUGAGGGCGCAGUCUAUAGGUGAUACGUCUUCUCUGGAUUUCAUGCGUUCCAGGAAAGUAUUUGAAAUAAAUCCAGAGCAUGAGAUAAUCAAGCGAUUGAAUGCUGCGUGCAGAAUCAACCCUGAUGACCCAGAAGCUCUAAAGGCAAUCGACAUCCUCUUUGAAACUUCAAUGAUUUCUAGCGGUUUCACGCCUGAUAACCCAACUGACCUGAGCGGGAAGAUCUAUGACAUGAUGAGCACAGCUAUGGCGGGCAAGUGGGCGUCGCAGCCCCAACCUGCCCAGCCAAGCCAGCAGCCUGCUGCACCUAGUAGCUCUGAACCUGAGCCGCUUGAAGCCGAGGUGGUGGAACCCGUCGAGGCUGGCCAGCAGAAGUGA